rnacentral:lncRNA from 1 species
GAUUUCUAUGCUUAUAGGAUGAACGAUGUGGUUAUUGGGAGGAUAAGAAAAAUAAUAAAGACAAAGACCAUUUGGAAACACCCACACAUAGACAGUGGACAAAGGAAGAAAGGAAUGAAUAAAAAUUUCCCUGUACAAGACACUUGAGUAUACCAGGCUGGUGUUAGUGGAUUCCAGAGAGCUUCCAUAACAGAAACAGAGGGAUGUUUAUGCAAAAUAUGAAAAUGAGUAAAAGUUUCUCCAAAAUUUGCAAAUCAGUAAGACUAUGAAGAUGUAUGAAGACCAGAAUUGCCAAGGCUUUUCAUGCUAUGUACAACAUGAAAAAAACUGAUACAAAAAAGCAAAAUCAUUUAUUUUCAAAGUGCAAAUACUACAGGGAGAAAAGUCAACUUUAAAGGUACUAUAACUAUAUCCAUACCUGUUUUGGUCCCUCUGAAUAUAUUACUUCUACUACCGUCGUCAUCCAUUAUGGCUUGGGAAGGGAACUAAGAAGAGAGGAAUAUGAUGUCAGUGGAACAGCAAAGCUUGCCUGCAUUUCCUCCCAGGAACAUAGGAGAACCAAGCGCUAGGCCUAGAGCCUAUGUGAAAUGUAUGAAUUGCUCUGCAGUCUGUAGGAGAGAGGAUAAGUAAGUGGGGAAUUCUCAUUAAGAAUGUCCACACCCUCCUCAGAUAUCAGUCACCUCAUAGAUGAGCAUUGACUUGCACAGGAGACUUGCUCACAACAUAUCCACUAAUUCUAAUUUCAGUCUUUGGUACAGGGUCCUUGUCCAAAUAUGCAAAGCCGCAUUCAACAACAGUAAAUCAACAUAAGAAUGCAGGGACAAGAUGAUGCAGAUACGCCCAAUUCAAAACAUUUGCAUUAAAGUGCACCUGAUCCAUAUAUGGUAGUUUGGAAGCUCAGAAGAAUUCAGUGAAUUCUGAUCAAUGCACGAGAUAUACAUGUACAGUUUAAAGGGAGCUCUGUAAAAUUAAGGAAGAGAUGCUGGCAAGAGGCCCACAAAGCACUGUCAGGUCCUGUCUUGCCAUGUCUCUCCUUGAAGUAAGCAAGUCAGUAAGUCGUGUUCACUUGAACAACUCCCGUGAAGGAAAGCAUUAGGUCUGGCAACUCCAUUCUGAGACAGUGAAUAGCAACAGAUCUUUUAGGAGGUCUCAGAAGAGGGUGGGAUUUUGAACUGUAUUACACUGUAGGUUGCCAGAGAGAGUGAUAAGAAAGACAGAAAAAAAUGAAGAAAGGGCAGAAGACUGAGAACAGGCAUCACUUGAAAGACCAUUGAGAUUAUUAUCUUUAUAUUAAGACCUUAAGUCUUUGC